CAGGGUGAGGACCCGAUGGGAAGGGCGCUGGUCCCCAAAACCAGUCUUAGCAGGUUCGAAUCCUGUCACCCCUGCCA
rnacentral:tRNA from 1 species